rnacentral:lncRNA from 1 species
CGGGGAGGCGUCGAACGAAGGGGCGGAACUCGUCGGAUCCGCGGAUCGGGAGGCUAGGGCCGCCGGAAAGGUCGUGGAUCUCCGGGUCGACUUGAGGAGAGAGAAAGCCGAUGAGCAAGUUGAGGAGGUAGAUCCCCAAGCCGUAUGACAUGAUGUAGAAUCCCUGGACGAAGUAUACGCGGAGGAUGUAGACCAGGGCCACGCCUAGGGUUGCGAGCCAGCGGUGGAGGACGUGCGGCGUCGUUUUGUCGAGCAGGUGCUGGCAUCGAUGCGACACGCCGAAGCUCCACGCCUGGACGGCGUCGAGCGGCUAUCCUCCGAGACGACGAGUCCUCCGCCGACGACGACGACGCGGCGAGACCCACUCCCGCCGCUCCGG